rnacentral:rRNA from 1 species
UACGAAGGGGGCUAGCGUUGCUCGGAAUCACUGGGCGUAAAGGGCGCGUAGGCGGGUGCUCAAGUCCGUGGUGAAAUCCUCCGGCUCAACCGGAGAACUGCCUCGGAUACUGGGUGCCUCGAGGGUGGUAGGGGUAUGCGGAACUAUCGGUGGAGCGGUGAAAUGCGUUGAUAUCGAUAGGAACUCCGGUGGCGAAGGCGGCAUACUGGACCACCUCUGACGCUGAGGCGCGAAAGCCAGGGGAGCAAACGGG